UUUCAGAAGAUCAUCUAUCUAUACACUCAGGUUUACAAGGCAGUAACUCCUGAAGACCAGUGUUAUGUUGCACAGGUGGAAAAAAAAAAUCUAAGUUAGACCAAGUUCCUCUUGACCCCAUGUCCAGUGAAUUUCCUAGGAUCAGCCACUCUGUCAACUGGUAAUUAAAGGAUUUUAAGCAGAUGUUGUCUUCAGAAAAACAAUUUUCUGUUUAAUUUUCCAAAGGGAAGAUGUAAGAAUGUGGAUUAUUUCUAGAAAAUUGUUGUUCAUAAACACUCAGGUAAUUGUCUAUUUUUUUUCAAUGUCAGUCGUUUUGGUACACGUGAACUUCUCUAAAGCUUAGGCAUUCUAUAUUUUCUUUUGAAAGGUGUAGCUAGCUCCUGUUAGUAGAGGAAACUAAUUUAGCUUGGAUAUAAGUGAGAAAAAUCACUCUCUUCUGUUGUU
rnacentral:lncRNA from 1 species